GGACCCGCACAAGCGGUGGAGCAUGUGGUUUAAUUCGAAGCAACGCGAAGAACCUUACCAGGUCUUGACAUCCUUUGACCACUCUAGAGAUAGAGCUUUCCCUUCGGGGACAAAGUGACAGGUGGUGCAUGGUUGUCGUCAGCUCGUGUCGUGAGAUGUUGGGUUAAGUCCCGCAACGAGCGCAACCCUUAUUACUAGUUGCCAGCAUUUAGUUGGGCACUCUAGUGAGACUGCCGGUGACAAACCGGAGGAAGGUGGGGAUGACGUCAAAUCAUCAUGCCCCUUAUGACCUGGGCUACACACGUGCUACAAUGGAUGGUACAACGAGUCGCAAGGUCGCGAGGCCAAGCUAAUCUCUUAAAGCUAUUCUCAGUUCGGAUUGUAGGCUGCAACUCGUCUACAUG
rnacentral:rRNA from 1 species